GUCAGACCAUCAGUCUCUUUCAGCAGCAAACAUGGACAUUACAUGUAAAACACACUGUCCUCCACUGAGACAGUCCAACAUUUGGACACGAAAAGCUCCAACAGAGAGGAGAAAGGAAAUCCCUCAGUAACAACCUGAAGAAACUCACUGAAGCCUAAAAGCACAUCAGGAAACUAAGGAAACAUUUCUGGAAGCUCAACCUGAUUUAACAAUCAGCAUUAAAAUCCAAUCAAUCUAAACUCUGAUCAACACCUGGAUACCUGCUCCAUCCACACUCCCACACACAGAUGAAGGAAUGAAACACUAAACAACCUGCUGCUGAAAACCUGCUGUGGCCUCACUGGAAUAUCCAGAAAUACAAACAUUAAAAAGGAGAAGCUGCAUCACAUUCAACAAAGAGUU